UUGAACGCUGGCGGUAUGCUUAACACAUGCAAGUCGAACGGCAGUGCACCUAGCUUGCUAGAUGCGCGAGAGUGGCGGACGGGUGAGUAACGCGUAGGGAUCUGCCUAGAAGAGUGGGACAACACGGGGAAACUCGUGCUAAUACCGCAUAAUCUCUAAGGAGGAAAGGUGGGAGCAAUCCUGUCGCUUUUAGAUGAACCUGCGUUGGAUUAGCUUGUUGGUGGGGUAACGGCCUACCAAGGCAAUGAUCCAUAGCUGUUCUGAGAGGAAGAUCAGCCACACUGGGACUGAGACACGGCCCAGACUCCUACGGGAGGCAGCAGUGGGGAAUAUUGGACAAUGGGCGCAAGCCUGAUCCAGCAAUACCGCGUGUGUGAAGAAGGCCUGAGGGUUGUAAAGCACUUUCAGCGAGGAGGAAGGUUGCAUAGUUAAUAGCUAUGUAGUUUGACGUUACUCGCAGAAGAAGCACCGGCUAACUCUGU
rnacentral:rRNA from 1 species